rnacentral:rRNA from 1 species
GGACUACAGGGGUAUCUAAUCCCGUUUGCUCCCCACGCUUUCGCAUCUCAGUGUCAGGUAAAACCCAGUAAGCUGCCUUCGCCAUUGGUGUUCCUUUCGAUAUCUACGGAUUUCACUCCUACACCGAAAGUUCCGCUUACCCCUGUUUUCCUCAAGUUUGACAGUAUCAGUAACAGUCCCGACGUUAAGCGUCGGUCUUUAAUCGCUGACUUAUCAAACCACCUACAUGCGCUUUACGCCCAAUAAAUCCGGAUAACGUUAGCACCCCCCGUAUUACCGCGGCUGCUGGCAC